GACAGAGGUGCCAAGCGUUAAUCGGAAUUACUGGGCGUAAAGCGUGCGCAGGCGGUUAUGUAAGACAGUUGUGAAAUCCCGGGCUCAACCUGGGAACUGCAUCUGUGACUGCAUAGCUAGAGUACGGUAGAGGGGGAUGGAAUUCCGCGUGUAGCAGUGAAAUGCGUAGAUAUGCGGAGGAACACCGAUGGCGAAGGCAAUCCCCUGGACCUGUACUGACGCUCAUGCACGAAAGCGUGGGGAGCAAACAGG
rnacentral:rRNA from 1 species